GGAUCGAUGAUGACUUCCAUAUAUACAUUCCUUGGAAAGCUGAACAAAAUGAGUGAAAACUCUAUACCGUCAUCCUCGUCGAACUGAGGUCCAGCACAUUACUCCAUCAGGGGCUAGACAGAGAGGGCCAACAUUCGUUUGUUGAUAUGGGUUGCAUCAAGGGGUCCAUCCAGGCUUAGGAUGGGGUCCCUUUGGGCAAUUGGAAGUCACAGGGAAGUGGGAGCUCCCAUGCACAGGAAAUUCCUUAUUUGAAGGACUUCUUUCUCCCUGGGCGGGAUAACUCACCUACUGUCUGAAGGACUAGGUGAAUGGCAGGUGGCAUGGAAAGAGUUUGUGGGUAGUCUGCCUCUGGUGGCCAAGUUUGUUCUUGAGUCCAAGCUCUGGAUUCCCAGAGGAAGACAGAUCCCCUGGUUGCGGGGAGAGCACAAGCCUACACUAUUCUCACUUGUUAGCUUGUUUUGUCCUUGGCGGAGGACGUUGUAUUUCCAGGCACCCAGCAUAGCCUCUUUGCCGCAUUUCCAUGUCAUAUCCCAUAUGUUAUGAGGAUUUGUGUAUUGCAUGAUCAGGCAGGCUUCUGCUCCAAGCUGGGGCUGUCAGGCAAGGAGUCUCUGGGUUAUUCCAAACCUGAUUUAGGUCAGUGGCUUCCUCUUUCAGGAUUCAUGGCCCCAAGGCUUUUGUGAGCACCAUUGCAGGUGUUGAAGCAACGAUGUUGAGAGGGAUGCCCAACAUCAGUGCUCUUUAGCAGGAUGGUGCACCUCGAGGGCCCCUGGCCCUGGGACGAGCAUCUGCGUGUCCAUGCAUUUCUGUGUCCAUGAACAGGCGAGGCCAUAGACAGGCAAAUAGCAGAUGUGUCACAGGGGACUGGAUAACAUGGCCCUCGUGACGUGUGCAACCUGUCUGCCUUUCUGAAGCACGCCUGUGUUUCCUCUGCACUUCACAGGUGGUGUUGGCAUGAAAGGCAGGCUUGUAUCAUGAGGAAUGAUUGUCAUCUUGUCUGAUUCUUGGAGAUGGCAGGAAGCCCCUGGAAACACAUGGUGUGGACUCUUUCACAGGCUGUUGAAACCCUCCUGAAUGUGAGGCCAGAGACAGGCAGACAGCAGAUGUAUUGCAGGGAGCUGGAUGACAUGGCCCUUGGAACCUGUGCACAUGCCUGCCUUUCUGAUGCACGUCCAUGUUUUCUCUGCACCUCCCCGGUGGUGUUGGUAUAAAAAGCAGGCUUACAUCAGCAAGGGAUGAUUGUCGUCUCAUGCGAUCCUGGGAGAUGGCAGAAGUCCCGGGACACAUGGAGUGUGGGCUCUUUCGGAGGCUGUUGGAUCCCUCCUGAAUGUGUUGUGGCCAUGGAAGUAAGGCCAGUGGCUACGAGGGACAGUCUUCAUCUUGGGAGAUCCCUAGAGAGGGCAGGGAGCCCCUUGACAUGUGGAAUGUGAUCUCUGUUGGGUGCUGGUGGAUCCCACAGGUGGUCUGGCAUGGAAGAAGGCCAGAGGCUGCGAUGGAUCAUCUUUGUCUUGGGAGAUUCCUGGAGAUGGUGGGGAGCCCCUGGGCACGUGCAGCAUAUGUGGCGUGGGCUUCUUCAGGUGCUGGUGGAUCCCUCAGGAUGCUUUUCAAGGUUUUUCUAUGAGUUCUGUUAAAGAGUCUGAAAAUGGAGCGUAGAAGACAUGCUUCGAUUUCCAGGAUGGUUGUGUUUUCCAGAGAGGCGGAGGUAAACCACUGGCGCAGCCCUGCCUCCCACAGAUAAUUCCGGGUGCAGUGUUUCAUAUCUAGACUUGGACUUCUAUCCUACCAUACUUCUUUGUGUGCAGUUCAUUGUGGAACCAGCACAGAUUUUCAUACGAAAGUUAUUUCUUUUUAACCUCAAAAAGUGACAGAAUGGAGUGUAUCAUGAAAAAGUCUGACAUCAAAACCUCAAAAUGUGAUAUUGAUUGGGUGAGAUAGAAUUCCAUGGAAUUUCAUUGCCAAACCAGUGAAGUGCUAAUUUUGACAUUUGUACCAGCUAACGUAGCUGUGAAGAAACACACCAAUACACUUCUAAGGACAGCAUAGACCAAGAUCUAGGUUUCAUAUGGAUGAAUUUAUUCUUCCCUUUGAGGCAAGACAAGAAGGAAAGAAAGUAUUGGGAAUAAUGCUGCCCUCCCAUCCUCAAGGGCCAGUGGGAACUCUAAUAUUGAUUGGUUUUCACAGAAUUCCAUGGACUUUAACUGCUGAACCAAUGAUGCACUGAUUUUGUCACUUGUACCAGCUAACGCAUCUGGGAGGCAACAAAACAAUACUCUCCUGAGGUUAAUGUGGACCAAAAACUAGAUUUCAUAUAAAAGAGUUUAUUCCUUCUACUUGAGGUGUGACAUGAAGGAAAGUAAUGGAAAUAAUUCUGCCCUCCCAUUCUCAAGGGCCAGGGGGAAUUCAAAUAUUGAACGGAAGUGAUUUUGGAAUUGCAUGGAAUUCUCACUGCCAUCCCAAAGAAAUGCUGAUCUUGUCACUCUUACCUGUUUCAUUCCCUGGGGGCAGAACAAAAGGACGCACUCCAAAGAUCGGCAUGAACCAAGAACUGGGUUUCAUAUAAAAUAUUUUAUUCUGUCCUCUUGAGAUGUGACAUGAGAAAAGUAUUGAGAAUACUUCUAUCACCUCAUCUUCAAGAAUCCGUAGGAAUUCUCCCAUGGUGGACUUUACGGUUAACCUGAACAGGUCUUGGAAAAAGGACUUUAAACAUUCUCCUGUUCUGUGGAAUAAGUAUACUUUUUUCUGGACAUACACCUUGUCAGUGAGUUCCAUGUGAUACUAGAGUUGCAUAGAUUUUUAACCUUUACGCCAAUGAAGAUCUGAGGCAAACAUUGCCCCUUUUUUAGAAGUUUGCAUUUGUCACUGAUAACUGUAAUAAUUGAUCUUGUUGAAAAGCCUGGGAAAUGAAGAUCUGAUAUGUCACUUUUACCGGCUUCCUCAACUGAAAAAGAAUACAAUGAAACACGCUGAGAAUUUUUGUGCUUUCUCAGUCUUGCUGAUGAUCUUUCUAUGGGCCUGAAGCGUGGAGAGUGCCAGAGAGGCUGAUCCUCAGCAGUGUGGCAGAGGAAAGUUGGGUGCGACUAAGGGGUAUGCGGUGCCCACAUGCCACUGGGUCCUCAGCAGUACCACCUGAUUGGAAGUGAUAUUGGUGGAAGACAACAUUUUGCCGCUUGGAAUUCUCACCUCCACACCAAAGAAGUACUGUUUUUGUCAUUUGCACCAGCUUCUUUCUCCAGGAAAGAUCAAAACGAUGCACUGCAAGUGUGAUUGGUCCAGAUAGCUGCCUUAUCCAACUGCCUCCUUUGGACCACUUCAUCAUGGGACAGCUUGAUGCAAUCUACUUGACAAGACCCUGGAACCCCACACCCCUCAUGGAACCAGUGUCCACCUCCCAGUCACAGUGUGACCCCAGGGAACUCUUGCCUGCUUGCUUUAAACCCACCACUUAAAAGUCUCCACAGAAAACCUGUUUGAAUAGUACCCUUGACCCAAUAAGGGCAUUGGCCCCUGGGUGUCUCUCUCUCUCUCUCUCUCUCUCUCUCCCUCUCUCUCCCUCUCUCUCUCUCGCUCCCUGACCUCUGCGUGUGGACUCCAGGCAUGCCAUAUACCCCUCAGGACCUGAAGCAAAAGAAUGAAUUAAAGAAAACUCCAGAGAAUGAGCUGACAACCUACUCCCUGGUCAGUGGCUCUCCAUGCCUACCUGUGGUCUCUUGGACACCCUUGCAGAAGAUGACUUCCUGGGAACUCUUCUGGGAGUGAAUGUUAUCAGCAAAUUCCCAAAACAACACCCCUUAGACAAAAAGCCUCCUCACCUAUGCAUUGCCUAGACCACCCACUAAAGGUGAUGGCCACAAAGAGGUGGAUUUGUUGAGUUGGUGCCAUUCCUUCUACUGCCAGCUUCACCAAAACAAUGACACAGUCUUCCUUCCGCAUGGAGACUCUUCUCUUUCCUGUGUUGCAGUGGAUGCCUCCUGCAGAUAAGAAAUGCUUAACUGAGAAAUGCUCAUGUUGGGAUAUCAUCGAUGAGACUUUAAUUUGGGCAUGGUGACUGUUUCCCUUGCUGCCACUUGACUCAAUCCCAGGAGCCUCAGUAGAGGAUAUAAUAUUACACAAGAUGCUCAAAAUGGUGGAAUUGCUCAGUGCUCCCAUAAAUAUACAUUUAUAAUUUUCAUUUGCCACAUGGUAAACUGAAAAAUACAGACUAUAUUAAAAAGAAACUGCAUGAUUUUUUUUCAAAAAUUCAAAGCAUAUUUAAAUAAUAUAUAAAUUAAAUGCCCUCCUCUCUUCCAAUUCUGUCCCUAUAGUUUUCCUCUAUUAAGUGAACUACAUGCAUUCUUUUAGUGGAUAGAUGCACACAAACACACAAGCCAUUAUGGGGAAGGAUCCACGUGUGUGGCCAUAUUGUAACACAUUUUUCUGCAAAUCACCUCUUUCAUUUAACAGCCCUUAUUCAAUGGCCUUUUUCUUUUUCAGUAGUACAUACACAUCUGUGUCAUUUGUUGAAUGACGACAUGAAUGUUUUGUAGAUAAAAUAUAAUUAAAUGUUUUAAGCAUUUCUCACUCAUAGAUAUUUAUGUUAGCACCAAAUUUCUGUGCAAUGAACCUCCCUAUAUAUCAGUAAUUUUGCAUUUGUCUAUAAUAUCAUAAUAAAUUACUUAUCAGUUGAAUUACUGGGAUUAAGUAUGUGCACACUUUAUAUUUAUAUUUUGAAAAUUAUUGCAAGAUUGCCUUCAAAAAUGUGGUUAACAACUUUAUCUUCAAAUGGCAAUGAAUGAGAUUGCCAGCUUUCCUACAGCCUCACAGACAAUGGAUUUUAUAAAUAUUUAACAUUUUUGCCAAUGUGAUCACCCAAACUAUUGUCUUAAAUUGUAUCUCUUUUGUUUUUGAGUUUGGUCAUUUUUUCAUGUUUAUUAGCCAUCUGUAUUUUUUAAUUUCUUCUUUAUGUCCAAUUUUGUGGGUGGGAGGAGGAUUUAGUCUCUUCCUGAUUUCGAAGAGCUCAUUUACUAUUUCGGGAAAUAAGAUUUGGAUUGUCAACCAUUAUAGCUAUUUUUUACACACUUUUCAACUUUGUUUUUGUUAUAAGAAUGUGUAUGAUUGUUACAUGUCCAAGUAUAACCAUGUUCGCUUUUAUGGCUUCUGAGUUUCAUGUCAUUUUUGGAAAGAUAUAUAUAUUGAGUCCAUAAAACCCUUCACCUAUGUUAAAUUCUAAUUCUUUUGUGUUUUUUUAAUUCAAAUUCUUAAAUCAUGAGAAAUUUUUUUGUUUUGAAAUCUUAAAGUUGCCAAGUUACUUGCCAUUACUUGCGAUUAUUUGCCAAUAAUUGCCCAUUUAUCUGUACCGCCAUCUUGCGCAUAUGCUGUACUCUCAUCUGUGACUGGCUCCAUUUUUGUUCUGUGGAUUUGUGUGUCUCUUCUUCUGCCUCCUGUCUCGUGUCUGCUCGUUGGAAGAAAUUACAGUUUAGACUGCAAUUUCAUCAACUUUAAUAAAUCAAUUGAGGGGAGAAUUGGUUUUUAAAAAUAUUAAGUAAGUCUUCGUAUCCAAGGACAAGGUAUGUCUUUUCUUAUUCAAUAAUUUUAAUUACUGUUAAUAUUUUCACUGUGGUGAUGGGAGUUUUUCUUUUAAUUUAUUUUCUUGUUCAUUUUUUGUAUCUAAAGUUUUUGUUUUGUUUUGUUUUGGGGGUAAGUUGUCACCUUACUGUUUCUUGUUGCUUUUCAGAUUUUUUCAAAGUAUAGACUAAAUCCUUCACAAAUAUUUAAAGUUUUUAUUUUCCCCCUUCAUAUUGAUCCUGAUUUUAGUUAUGUUGACAAAGUCCACAGACUGUUACUAUCAGAACACUUGAACAGUUAUGGAAAUAUUACCUACCCUUGAUUUAAUCAGAGUUUAAUGGUAUGCUUCUUUGGUUUGACUGGCACAUUGUCGCUGGUCAUUUCCUCCCAAAGACCACCAGAAAGAGCUAUGAUCAAGCAAAGCUGAGUUUGUUAAACUUACCUGCAGCAAGGGAAAACACCACCUUGAUAGGGUUUAAUAAUGUUUCAAAAUCAAGAAAUGAGGCUUUGGGGUCUGGGCAGGGAACUAAUUAGAAAUGGGCAAAAUUUGUCAUGCAAUACCUUGUGGGAAAGUGAGAUGAGGUUCUUAAUGUGAGUAUUGAUGGUGAAAUCAUUUUCUAGGUGAGCUGUUUGCCUAUAUAAAGAUGUUAUCAAUGACAGAAGAACUAUUUGCCUAGAUAAACAAACUGAAUUUAUUUAUUGGUUUACAGUUUUAUCUUGCUGGGCAGGACUCUGCUGGGGGUGGUAUCAGGUCUUAUUCCCAAUAGGUAAGUUAUUUGGAUAUGGGUGGUCUUAAUCAUCAAUGUGUAAAAUGCUGAUUUUAAGUGCGAAAUACUUUGUCUACCAUGUUAGGAAAGUCUGCCACCUUUUAUCUUUUUUAAGGAAUUUUAAUCAAAACCAGGUGGUAGAUAUAAUCAAAUUGUUUUGCAGAAUCAAUUUUCCUGUUCUCUUUAAAGACUUUUAUCACUGUGAAUUAAUUUACUAUUAUUGCAACUUCCUUUAAUUCCUUGAAUGAACAGACCCUACUGGUUUUAAAAAUGUUUUAUUCUUUUAAUUUACUACUUAAUUGUGGGUAUUUUAAUUUGAUUUGGAAUUUUUACAAGUAUACAACUAAGUGAAAUUGAUCUGUGAUUUUUCUUUUUUGUGCUAUUUUUGUCAUGUUUUGAUAUCAGAUAUUCUGGUUGUGUUAAAAUAAUUUUGAGGAUUUUCUUCUUAUACUGUGUUCUAGAGUGGGUAAAAAAGCCCUAGUCUCACUAUCAGUGUUUAAGUGAACACAUCAGUGACAUCAUCUGGACUCUCCUUUGUUUUUGCUGGUUUGGAGUUAGGACAUCUAGAAGUUUUUUUCUUUUUUUCCUUUUUUUGUAUGGUUAUUGCUUGUUCUUUGUUUUGUGUCAAAUUUAACCUGUUUUCUCUUAGCAAAUCACAGCUCAUGCAGAUUUUCAAACACAUUAGCCUUGUUAUACAAAGUGUUCUUUCAUCAUUCUAUUAAAUUUCCAUUUUCAUUCCAGUUAUAGUUAUUUCUGCUGUGCCUUUGUUAAUGAAUAAGUUUAAACAGUGGAUGUUUAGCAUCACUAGCCUUCCCCUUCCAUCUCCCUUAAUCAGGACCUUGGUAUAAUUUAUCAGGUAUUUUUUAAGGUUCUAAUUUACUUAUAUAUAUUGUUUCUGUAUUCUUUUGUUUCUUUUCUUAAUAAAUUCUUAAA
rnacentral:lncRNA from 1 species